AUCUAUAUCCCAAUUCGUGGACGGGCCAACGGUUUUAGUUGAGCCAAAGGCUUUCACCAGUUAAUAGCACAAAAUUGUGUCUUUCCACAGCGGACAAAAACCAAGCAAAUUAAAUCAAGAUGAGCGAAGCCCGCAACUUGUUCACCACCUUUGGCAUCCUGGCCAUUCUGCUUUUCUUCCUCUACCUCAUCUAUGCCGUAUUGUAAAAUGUUUCCGGCAAGUAGAUGGUCCUUAGGGCAGGAUCAAAGGCAAUGGCCAUAAUUCCAAGCGCUGGCCAACUUUUUGUGGAGAAGUGGAAUUCAGAUCGGGAAAUUCAGUUAUUGCGCGCCUUUAGCUACGAACGGUUGGAAAUCCUCCAAGCAAUUAAGAAAACCCAAUCCCACAACCAGCAGCCAAAUCGGAAUCAAUCAAAAUGAAUGAGGCCAAAAGUUUGUUCACCACCUUCCUCAUCCUGGCCUUCCUGCUGUUCCUGCUCUACGCCUUCUACGAAGCCGCCUUCUAGGCCCACAUCCCCUAGUCAACCAUGAUCAUCACCAACCACCCAUCAAGGAUAGUUUACAUGUUGAAUUUCAAUUCCAAGCCGCUGGCCAUGCCAUCAUCUUGUGGUCCGGUGGAGCUUCUAGGACCCUACGCGUUUAAGAUGUUUAGCAUUUAAUGGAUUUCUACUAGUAACCUAAGCCAG